rnacentral:rRNA from 1 species
ACUCAAUAGAUACCCUGGUAGUCCACGCCGUAAACGAUGGAUGCUAGCUGUUAGAGGUAUCGACCCCUCUAGUAGCGAAAGCUAACGCGUUAAGCAUCCCGCCUGUGGAGUACGGUCGCAAGACUAAAACAUAAAGGAAUUGACGGGGACCCGCACAAGCGGUGGAGCGUGUUGUUUAAUUCGAUGGUAAACGAAGAACCUUACCCAGGCUUGACAUCCUUGGAAUUUCUCCGAAAGGAGAAAGUGCUUUAUUGAGCCAAGUGACAGGUGAUGCAUGGCCGUCGUCAGCUCGUGUCGUGAGAUGUUUGGUUAAGUCCAUCAACGAGCGCAACCCUUAUGGUCUGUUGUAUUUUUCAGGCCAGACUGCCCUGGUAACAGGGAGGAAGGAGGGGAUGAUGUCAGGUCAGUAUUUCCCUUACGUCUGGGGCUACAAACACGCUACAAUGGCCGGUACAAAGGGCAGCCAAGUCGCGAGACGGAGCAAAUCCCAUCAAAGCCGGUCUCAGUUCGGAUAGCAGGCUGAAACUCGCCUGCUUGAA